rnacentral:misc_RNA from 1 species
GAAAUGCGAUAAGUAAUGUGAAUUGCAGAAUUCAGUGAAUCAUCGAAUCUUUGAACGCACAUUGCGCCCCCUGGUAUUCCGGGGGGCAUGCCUGUUCGAGCGUCAUUUCACCACUCAAGCCUCGCUUGGUAUUGGGCAACGCGGUCCGCCGCGUGCCUCAAAUCGACCGGCUGGGUCUUCUGUCCCCUAGGCGUUGUGGAAACUAUUCGCUAAAGGGUGUUCGGGAGGCUACGCCGUAAAACAACCCCAUUUCUAAGGUUGACCUCGGAUCAGGUAGGGAUACCCGCUGAACUUAAGC